UUAUUGGGCGNNAAGCGCGCGUAGGUGGUUUUUUAAGUNUGAUGUGAAAGCCCNCGGCUCAACCGUGGAGGGUCAUUGGAAACUGGAAAACUUGAGUGCAGAAGAGGAAAGUGGAANUUCCAUGUGUAGCGGUGAAAUGCGCAGAGAUAUGGAGGAACACCAGUGGCGAAGGCGACUUUNUGGUCUGUAACUGACGCUGAUGUGNGAAAGCGUGGGGAUCAAACAGGAUUAGAUACCCUGGUAGUNCACGCCGUAAACGAUGAGUGCUAAGUGUUAGGGGGUUUCCGCCCCUUAGUGCUGCAGCUAACGCAUUAAGCACUCCGCCUGGGGAGUACGACCGCAAGGUUGAAACUCAAAGGAAUUGACGGGGACCCGCACAAGCGGUGGAGCAUGUGGUUUAAUUNGAAGCAACGCGAAGAACCUUACCAAAUCUUGACAUCCUCUGACCCCUCUAGAGAUAGAGUUUUCCCCUUCGGGGGACAGAGUGACAGGUGGUGCAUGGUUGUCGUCAGCUCGUGUCGUGAGAUGUUGGGUUAAGUCCCGCAACGAGCGCAACCCUUAAGCUUAGUUGCCAUCAUUAAGUUGGGCACUCUAAGUUGACUGCCGGUGACAAACCGGAGGAAGGUGGGGAUGACGUCAAAUCAUCAUGCCCCUUAUGAUUUGGGCUACACACGUGCUACAAUGGACAAUACAAAGGGUAGCGAAACCGCGAGGUCAAGCAAAUCCCAUAAAGUUGUUCUCAGUUCGGAUUGUAGUCUGCAACUCGACUAUAUGAAGCUGGAAUCGCUAGUAAUCGUAGAUCAGCAUGCUACGGUGAAUA
rnacentral:rRNA from 1 species